AUGAGCAUCAUGUGAGGGAAUCAAGGUAUCUUUUAAUCUUCAACAGUUAGGUGUUGUGAAGGAGUUGAAUGGGUCAAACUAUAACUAGAAUUUGUCUACUGUCUAUAUUUAAGAGAAAGGAGAGUUGCGAAGUCCGAAUUCCGAUUAUCGAACGGAGCCGUCGGCAAGAAUUGCUUUGGGCGAAUCCUCUGUGGGGAUAUCGCAAUGGGAUACGUGCAGGAAGCCCGAGAAAAUCACGUCAAGAAGAAGGGUGCUUUUGGUUGAAAAUUGUAGAAGACUGUAGGGAGUGGCAAUGCUGGAUAUUACAGUCUACCUUGAAGUUAAUAAUCCCUCCAUUGAUCAGCACAAAGAUAUGCGUUUGGACAUACAUCACAUGUCCUAUGAGGUGACAACUGGGUUUCUCGAUUAUAUGGACUGUCUAACAAUGGUUGACGAGUAUAUGUUAAUUCUCUGCUUUAUUUUUGUGGUAGUUACUACAUGAACAUGCAAAGAACAUUGAUGUGUAUACUGGUUGAGAUUUUGUAUUAUUGUUUUACUAUCCCUGCAAUUAUGGGCGAUGUGUAUGUGCACUUGAAGUGAAUUUUGGGAAAUCUACUUUAGCUUUUGCUUCUUAUAA